rnacentral:rRNA from 1 species
AACGGCCGUACCAUGCUGAAUAUACCGGUUCUUGUUAGAUCACCGAAGUUAAGCAUCAUUGGGCGCGGUCAGUACUUGGGUGGGUGACCACCUGGGAACACUGCGUGCCGUU